rnacentral:rRNA from 1 species
AGCAGCCGCGGUAAUUCCAGCUCCAAUAGCGUAUAUUAAAGUUGCUGCAGUUAAAAAGCUCGUAGUUGAAUUUCGGGACCAAUAUGUCGGUCGUGCCUCGGUACGUACUGGCAUCGUUGGUUUCUCCCUUCUGACGAACCAUGGUGUCAUUUAUUUGGUGUCGUGGGGAAUCAGGACUGUUACUUUGAAAAAAUUAGAGUGUUUAAAGCAGGCUCACGCUUGAAUACAUUAGCAUGGAAUAAUGAAAUAGGACGUUUGAUUCUAUUUUGUUGGUUUCUAGGAUCGACGUAAUGAUUAAUAGGGAUAGUUGGGGGCAUUAGUAUUCAAUUGUCAGAGGUGAAAUUCUUGGAUUUAUUGAAGACUAACUACUGCGAAAGCAUUUGCCAAGGAUGUUUUCAUUAAUCAAGAACGAAAGUUAGGGGAUCGAAGACGAUCAGAUACCGUCGUAGUCUUAACCAUAAACUAUGCCGACUAGGGAUCGGAUGAUGUUAAUUUUUAAUGACUCAUUCGGCGCCG